rnacentral:rRNA from 1 species
UACGUAGGGUGCGAGCGUUAAUCGGAAUUACUGGGCGUAAAGCGUGUGUAGGCGGCGGCCUAAGUACCUUGUGAAAUCCCACGGCUCACCCGUGGAACUGCUCGGUAUACUGGGUCGCUUGAGCCACUUAGGGGCUACCGGAACAAAUGGUGGAGCGGUGAAAUGCGUAGAUAUCAUUUGGAACGCCAAUGGUGAAAACAGGUAGCUGGGAGUGUGCUGACGCUGAGACACGAAAGCCAGGGGAGCAAACGGG